AUUGAACGCUGGCGGCAUGCCUUACACAUGCAAGUCGAACGGCAGCACGGGAGCAAUCCUGGUGGCGAGUGGCGAACGGGUGAGUAAUAUAUCGGAACGUGCCCAGUCGUGGGGAUAACGUAGCGAAAGCUACGCUAAUACCGCAUACGAUCUAUGGAUGAAAGCGGGGGAUCGCAAGACCUCGCGCGAUUGGAGCGGCCGAUAUCAGAUUAGGUAGUUGGUGAGGUAAAGGCUCACCAAGCCGACGAUCUGUAGCUGGUCUGAGAGGACGACCAGCCACACUGGGACUGAGACACGGCCCAGACUCCUACGGGAGGCAGCAGUGGGGAAUUUUGGGACAAUGGGCGCAAGCCUGAUCCAGCAAUGCCGCGUGCAGGAUGAAGGCCUGGUGUAAC
rnacentral:rRNA from 1 species